rnacentral:rRNA from 1 species
AACUAGGUGUUGGGUGGGUAAAACCAUUUAGUACCGUAGCUAACGCGUGAAGUUGACCGCCUGGGGAGUACGGCCGCAAGGUUAAAACUCAAAGGAAUUGACGGGGACCCGCACAAGCGGUGGAUGAUGUGGAUUAAUUCGAUGCAACGCGAAAAACCUUACCUACCCUUGACAUGUUCAGAAUCCUGGAGAGAUUUGGGAGUGCCCGAAAGGGAGCUGGAACACAGGUGCUGCAUGGCUGUCGUCAGCUCGUGUCGUGAGAUGUUGGGUUAAGUCCCGCAACGAGCGCAACCCUUGUCGUUAAUUGCCAUCAUUUAGUUGGGCACUUUAACGAGACUGCCGGUGACAAACCGGAGGAAGGUGGGGAUGACGUCAAGUCCUCAUGGCCCUUAUGGGUAGGGCUUCACACGUCAUACAAUGGUCGGUACAGAGGGUUGCCAAGCCGCGAGGUGGAGCCAAUCCCAGAAAGCCGAUCGUAGUCCGGAUUGCAGGCUGCAACUCGCCUGCAUGAAGUCGGAAUCGCUAGUAAUCGCGGAUCAGCAUGUCGCGGUGAAUACGUUCCCGGGUCUUGUACACACCGCCCNUCACACCAUGGGAGCG